rnacentral:rRNA from 1 species
AUUGAACGCUGGCGGCAUGCCUUACACAUGCAAGUCGAACGGCAGCACGGGAGCAAUCCUGGUGGCGAGUGGCGAACGGGUGAGUAAUAUAUCGGAACGUGCCCAGUCGUGGGGAUAACGUAGCGAAAGCUACGCUAAUACCGCAUACGAUCUAUGGAUGAAAGCGGGGGAUCGCAAGACCUCGCGCGAUUGGAGCGGCCGAUAUCAGAUUAGGUAGUUGGUGAGGUAAAGGACUCACCAAGCCGACCGAUCUGUAGCUGGUCUUGAGAGGACGACCAGCCACACUGGGACUGAGACACGGCCCAGACUCCUACGGAGGCAGCA